AGAGUUUGAUCCUGGCUCAGGACGAACGCUGGCGGCGUGCUUAACACAUGCAAGUCGAACGAAGAGCGAUGGAAGCUUGCUUCUAUCAAUCUUAGUGGCGAACGGGUGAGUAACGCGUAAUCAACCUGCCCUUCAGAGGGGGACAACAGUUGGAAACGACUGCUAAUACCGCAUACGAUCUAACCUUGGCAUCGAGGAUGGAUGAAAGGUGGCCUCUACAUGUAAGCUAUCACUGAAGGAGGGGAUUGCGUCUGAUUAGCUAGUUGGAGGGGUAACGGCCCACCAAGGCGAUGAUCAGUAGCCGGUCUGAGAGGAUGAACGGCCACAUUGGGACUGAGACACGGCCCAAACUCCUACGGGAGGCUGCAGUGGGGAAUCUUCCGCAAUGGACGAAAGUCUGACGGAGCAACGCCGCGUGAGUGAUGACGGCCUUCGGGUUGUAAAGCUCUGUUAAUCGGGACGAAAGGCCUUCUUGCGAAUAGUGAGAAGGAUUGACGGUACCGGAAUAGAAAGCCACGGCUAACUACGUGCCAGCAGCCGCGGUAAUACGUAGGUGGCAAGCGUUGUCCGGAAUUAUUGGGCGUAAAGCGCGCGCAGGCGGAUAGGUCAGUCUGUCUUAAAAGUUCGGGGCUUAACCCCGUGAUGGGAUGGAAACUGCCAAUCUAGAGUAUCGGAGAGGAAAGUGGAAUUCCUAGUGUAGCGGUGAAAUGCGUAGAUAUAUAUGGAAGAACACCAGUGGCGAAGGCGGCUGUCUGGUCUGUAACUGACGCUGAGGCUCGAAAGCAUGGGUAGCGAACAGGAUUAGAUACCCUGGUAGUCCACGCCGUAAACGGUGGAUGCUGGAUGUGGGGCCCGUUCCACGGGUUCCGUGUCGGAGCUAACGCAUAAGCAUUCCGCCUGGGGAGUACGACCGCAAGGUUGAAACUCAAAGGAAUUGACGGGGGCCCGCACAAGCAGCGGAGCAUGUGGUUUAAUUCGAAGCAACGCGAAGAACCUUACCAGGGCUUGACAUCCUGCUGACAGGACCUUAACCGGUCCCUUCUUCGGACAGCAGAGACAGGUGGUGCAUGGUUGUCGUCAGCUCGUGCCGUGAGAUGUUGGGUUAAGUCCCGCAACGAGCGCAACCCUUGUCGCUAGUUACUAACAUUCAGUUGAGGACUCUAGCGAGACUGCCGAGGUCAACUCGGAGGAAGGUGGGGAUGACGUCAAAUCAUCAUGCCCCUUAUGUUCUGGGCUACACACGUGCUACAAUGGUCGGUACAAUGAGAGGCAAUACUGUGAAGUGGAGCAAAUCACCAAAACCGAUCCCAGUUCGGAUUGUAGGCUGCAACUCGCCUACAUGAAGUUGGAGUUGCUAGUAAUCGCAGAUCAGAAUGCUGCGGUGAAUGCGUUCCCAGGUCUUGUACACACCGCCCGUCACACCAUGGAAGUUGGGGGUGCCCAAAGUCGGUUAAUUAAUCUAUCGCCUAAGGCAAAACCAAUGACUGGGGUGAAGUCGUAACAAGGUAACC
rnacentral:rRNA from 1 species